rnacentral:rRNA from 1 species
CUACGGGCGGCUCCAGUGGGGAAUAUUGCACAAUAGAGGGAACUCUGAUGCAGCAACGCCGCGUGGAGGAUGACACAUUUCGGUGCGUAAACUCCUUUUAUAUAAGAAGAUAAUGACGGUAUUAUAUGAAUAAGCACCGGCUAACUCCGUGCCAGCAGCCGCGGUAAUACGGGGGGUGCAAGCGUUACUCGGAAUCACUGGGCGUAAAGAGCAUGUAGGCUGGUUUGUAAGUUUGAAGUGAAAUCCUAUGGCUUAACCAUAGAACUGCUUCCAAAACUACUUACCUAGAGUAUGGGAGAGGUAGAUGGAAUUUCUGGUGUAGGGGUAAAAUCCGUAGAGAUCAGAAGGAAUACCGAUUGCGAAGGCGAUCUACUGGAACAUUACUGACGCUCAGAUGCGAAAGCGUGGGGAGCAAACAGGAUUAGAUACCCGAGUAGUC